rnacentral:rRNA from 1 species
GACGAACGCUGGCGGCGUGCUUAACACAUGCCAGUCGAACGGUGAAGCGCCUUCCUUUUUGGUGGGUGUGGAUGAGUGGCGAACGGGUGAGUAACACGUGAGUAACCUGCCCCCUUCUUCUGGAUAACCGCAUGAAAGUGUUGCUAAUACGGGAUAUUCUGGGUCUGUCGCAUGAUGGGUCUGGGAAAGAUAUUGUUUCGGUGGGGGAUGGGCUCGCGGCCUAUCAGCUUUUUGGUGGGGUGAUGGCCUACCAAGGCGGUGACGGGUAGCCGGCCUGAGAGGGUGGACGGUCACACUGGGACUGAGACACGGCCCAGACUCCUACGGGAGGCAGCAGUGGGGAAUAUUGCACAAUGGGCGCAAGCCUGAUGCAGCGACGCCGCGUGAGGGAUGGAGGCCUGCGGGUUGUGAACCUCUUUCGCCAGUGAAGCAGGCCUGCCUCGUUUGUGGGUGGGUUGACGGUAGCUGGAUAAGAAGCGCCGGCUAACUACGUG